rnacentral:rRNA from 1 species
AUUGAACGCUGGCGGCAUGCUUUACACAUGCAAGUCGAACGGUAACAGGUUAAGCUGACGAGUGGCGAGCGGGUGAGUAAUGCAUCGGAACGUGCCCGAUCGUGGGGGAUAACGCAGCGAAAGCUGCGCUAAUACCGCAUGCGAUCUGAGGAUGAAAGCGGGGGACCGUAAGGCCUCGCGCGAUCGGAGCGGCCGAUGUCAGAUUAGGUAGUUGGUGGGGUAAAGGCUCACCAAGCCGACGAUCUGUAGCUGGUCUGAGAGGACGACCAGCCACGCUGGGACUGAGCAACGGCCCAGACUCCUACGGGAGGCAGCAGUGGGGAAUUUUGGACAAUGGGCGCAAGCCUGAUCCAGCAAUGCCGCGUGCAGGAAGAAGGCCUUCGGGUUGUAAACUGCUUUUGUACGGAGCGAAAAGGCUCUCUCUAAUACAGGGGGCUCGUGACGGUACCGUAAGAAUAAGCACCGGCUAACUACGUGCCAGCCGCCGCCGUAA